GUUCAUAUUUUACAAAAAGUCAAUCAGAACUUUGUUUGUCUGCAAUAGUAAAAGGCUUCUUGAUGCAACAAUAUUAUCCAGAAAUGUAUAAUUAUAAUGAUAUACACAUAAAGGACAUUUGUCUGCACAAUGAUUACUUUGUCCUUUUAUACUUUAAAUACAUUCGGCUGAUAACCCUUUCUUCUUUUUAUCAAAGUAACAUUUGAAUGCAGGACUUUCUACUUGUGAUGAAGUAUUUUGUCAAUAAUGUUUUGGUGCUCAAGUAAAGCCUCUGGAGCUGCAGGUGAAUCCAAAACCCUCUCAUGAUCCUGAUGAGUUUGGUUCGUUUCUGAAGAAAUCAUUUCCAAAUUGUUUUUCAGGAAAAAAUACAAAUAAAUGUAUAAAAUGCACUUCUUUCUCCAGGGUAGAAGUAUUUCCUUAUACAUAGUUUUAUAUUAAAUUAAAAUAAUCAAUAACAAAUAAGUUUUUUCUUUUAUUAUUAUUAUUAUUUGUAUUUAUUUGUUUCUUUCUCUCCUCUAGUAGUGUUGUAACAGAAUAUGAUACAUCUUCACAGCCAGGUGAUAUCUUUGUGUGUGGAGUUAUACAAGCUGUUUUUAGGCAACAAUACAUUUAAUAUAUUCCAUAUUUAAAUAACUAGUCAGUCAUCAACAUUUGAUCUGUUUGUCCUUCCUUGUCUCCAGGUAAAGUGUGCAAUCAGAGCUGAAUGUGGAUGAUGUUGUCAGUGACAGAAGUCUGAAGGAUAAAGAAGAAGAGCAUUUUAAUAUCAGACUGCUGCCUUUAAGUAUUACACUGUUGAAAAAGGUCAUGUCUACGUUAAAAAGUGCCGAGGGGGUCGUCUUUGGUUUUUCCCACUUCAACGUUGUGCAGCUCAACCUUUCCUCCAUUACAAGGAAGUUGUUGGAAGACACUCAGAUGAAUGUAGUCCUCCUCUCCAGCAAAGACCUGCAGGAAAGAGAGGGGAAAUGUCACAUCUGAAAUUAUAAAUCUGAUUCAUGUGAAGCUUCUGUCAAACUGCAGUAAACUGUCCUGCAAUGAAUUCAACCUGGCAUUAGAUUUAAAGAGCCCUAUUCUGCUUUUUGUCUCUGUCCUGUGUGUUCUAUAGGUUUUAGUGCAUGUAGUCUGCAAAGGCUAAAAUCCCUGUCUUCCCUCCAGAGGGAGUUUCUGUCCGUGCGUCCCCCCCCCAAAUUGAUUUGGUUAAUUGAUUAAUCUUGUAUAUGAUAUAAAGACAAACACGCUA